rnacentral:rRNA from 1 species
AUUAGCGGAUGACUUGUGGCUGGGGGUGAAAGGCCAAUCAAACCGGGAGAUAGCUGGUUCUCCCCGAAAGCUAUUUAGGUAGCGCCUCGUGAAUUCAUCUCCGGGGGUAGAGCACUGUUUCGGCAAGGGGGUCAUCCCGACUUACCAACCCGAUGCAAACUGCGAAUACCGGAGAAUGUUAUCACGGGAGACACACGGCGGGUGCUAACGUCCGUCGUGAAGAGGGAAACAACCCAGACCGCCAGCUAAGGUCCCAAAGUCAUGGUUAAGUGGGAAACGAUGUGGGAAGGCCCAGACAGCCAGGAUGUUGGCUUAGAAGCAGCCAUCAUUUAAAGAAAGCGUAAUAGCUCACUGGUCGAGUCGGCCUGCGCGGAAGAUGUAACGGGGCUAAACCAUGCACCGAAGCUGCGGCAGCGACACUAUGUGUUGUUGGGUAGGGGAGCGUUCUGUAAGCCUGUGAAGGUGGCCUGUGAGGGUUGCUGGAGGUAUCAGAAGUGCGAAUGCUGACAUAAGUAACGAUAAAGCGGGUGAAAAGCCCGCUCGCCGGAAGACCAAGGGUUCCUGUCCAACGUUAAUCGGGGCAGGGUGAGUCGACCCCUAAGGCGAGGCCGAAAGGCGUAGUCGAUGGGAAACAGGUUAAUAUUCCUGUACUUGGUGUUACUGCGAAGGGGGGACGGAGAAGGCUAUGUUGGCCGGGCGACGGUUGUCCCGGUUUAAGCGUGUAGGCUGGUUUUCCAGGCAAAUCCGGAAAACCAAGGCUGAGGCGUGAUGAC